rnacentral:rRNA from 1 species
CACUCCUACGGGAGGCAGCAGUGGGGAAUUUUGGACAAUGGGCGAAAGCCUGAUCCAGCAAUGCCGCGUGAGUGAAGAAGGCCUUCGGGUUGUAAAGCUCUUUUGUCAGGGAAGAAACGGUGAGAGCUAAUAUCUUUUGCUAAUGACGGUACCUGAAGAAUAAGCACCGGCUAACUACGUGCCAGCAGCCGCGGUAAUACGUAGGGUGCAAGCGUUAAUCGGAAUUACUGGGCGUAAAGCGUGCGCAGGCGGUUUUGUAAGUCUGAUGUGAAAUCCCCGGGCUCAACCUGGGAAUUGCAUUGGAGACUGCAAGGCUAGAAUCUGGCAGAGGGGGGUAGAAUUCCACGUGUAGCAGUGAAAUGCGUAGAUAUGUGGAGGAACACCGAUGGCGAAGGCAGCCCCCUGGGUCAAGAUUGACGCUCAUGCACGAAAGCGUGGGGAGCAAACAGGAUUAGAAACCCUAGUAGUCCCA